GACAAACGGGUCAAGUUAAGGUUAUUUCAGUAUAAAAGGAAGUUAGAGAUAUUUUAAUUUUUGAGUAAGGAGAUUUUGAAUUGUUUUAUAGAGGUGGAAUUUGUAUAGAGUGAUUUAAUUUUUUAUUCUCUUAUCUCUUGAUGCUUCGAGAAUUUGGGAGGAAACCGGGAUUAGAUACCCCGUUAUUUAUUUUAUAAACUUUAGUUAAGUUGCUUAUUUGGGGAUUACGAGCUUAUUUUUAUUUAAUGAAUUAUAAAGAUAUUGUGCUUAAAACUCAAAAAACUUGGCGGUGCCUUAUUUCCUUCCAGGGGAACCUGUCCUAUAAUCGAUGUUCCACGGUUUAACUUUCCUUUAUUUGUAUGGUAAUUGAAAAUUAUUAGCAGCUUGUAUACCGUCGUCGUCAGAUUAUCUUUGAGAGUUAUAGAAGUUGUCGGAAGAAUUUGUUGUAAGGGUCUACCUAAUUUGUUUUUAAGUGUGAAGUAGUAUUUGCCUUUGAAGAUAGGAAUUAGGGGUUAAGAUUAAUGCAGAUGUUUUGAUGUCAGAUCAAGGUGCAGUUUAUGUAAAGGAAGAGAUGGGUUACAGUGAAUAUUUAAUAUACGAAUUUUGUUUUGUAAUUGACAAUUGAAGGUGGACUUGGGAGUAAUAUAAAAUUAUAGGGAGUAGAGAGCUUUUUGUGAAUAUGGACUAAG
rnacentral:rRNA from 1 species